GACCAACUAAGUUAGUUCUUGGUAUGAGCUUUCGUGUGCAAGCACACUUCUUCAGAUACACUGAAACAGAAGUUGCCAGAAGUGUGCUUGCACACGAAAGCUCAUACCAAGAACUAACUUAGUUGG